CUACUGAGAAGGAUUGGAUCCUGCCACUGCAAGUUCAUGGGAUAAUGAUUCCAUUCAAACUGGAUACAGGGGCUCAGUCCACCAACUAGCACAGAUGACAAGGAGAAGGAGGAUAAGAGGGAAGAAACCGCUUCCAAUACCAUUUCUCCUCCCUGCACUCAAACAUCUGUUUGUUUCUGAGACCCAAGAAGAUGCACUGCCAGUGACUUCUGCUGCUCCCGAUGCCAGUCAGUCACAUGCCCCCGAACCUCAGACCUCAGCUCACACUACAGCAAAACACUCAAGCG